rnacentral:rRNA from 1 species
UACGUAGGGUGCGAGCGUUGUCCGGAAUUAUUGGGCGUAAAGCGCGCGUAGGCGGUUACUUAAGUUGGAUGUGAAAGCCCUCGGCUUAACCGAGGAAGUGCAUCCAAAACUGAGUAGCUAGAGUACGAAAGAGGGUCGCGGAAUUCCCGGUGUAGAGGUGAAAUUCGUAGAUAUCGGGAGGAACACCGGUGGCGAAGGCGGCGACCUGGGUCGAGACUGACGCUGAGGCGCGAAAGCGUGGGGAGCAAACAGG